UUAAUUGAAGCCAAAAUAGAGGCCUAUCACUGUUAAUGAUAAUACUGAAGACUAAUUCCAAUUAAG
rnacentral:tRNA from 1 species